AUCGAACGCUGGCGGCAUGCUUAACACAUGCAAGUCGAACGAGUGGCGGACGGGUGAGUAACGUCUGGGAAACUGCCUGAUGGAGGGGGAUAACUACUGGAAAUGGUAGCUAAUACCGCAUACCAUCGGAUGUGCCCAGAUGGGAUUAGCUAGUAGGUGGGGUAAUGGGUCACCUAGGCGGCGAUCCCUAGCUGGUCUGAGAGAAUGACCGGCCACACUGGAGCGGGGACGCGGUCCAGACGCCUACGGGAGGCACCAGUGGGGAAUAUUGCGCAAUGGGCGCAAGCCUGGUGCAGCCAUGCCGCGUGUAAGAAGGAGGCCUUCGGGUGGUAAUGUACUUUCAGCGGGGAGGCGUUACCCGCAGAAGAAGCACCGGCUAACUACGUGCCAGCAGCCGCGGUAAUAC
rnacentral:rRNA from 1 species